AUUGAACGCUGGCGGCAUGCCUUACACAUGCAAGUCGAACGGUAACAGGUCUUCGGAUGCUGACGAGUGGCGAACGGGUGAGUAAUACAUCGGAACGUGCCCGAUCGUGGGGGAUAACGGAGCGAAAGCUCUGCUAAUACCGCAUACGAUCUACGGAUGAAAGCAGGGGACCGCAAGGCCUUGCGCGGACGGAGCGGCCGAUGGCAGAUUAGGUAGUUGGUGGGAUAAAAGCUUACCAAGCCGACGAUCUGUAGCUGGUCUGAGAGGACGACCAGCCACACUGGGACUGAGACACGGCCCAGACUCCUACGGGAGGCAGCAGUGGGGAAUUUUGGACAAUGGGCGAAAGCAUGAUCCAGCCAUGCCGCGUGCAGGAUGAAGGCCUUCGGGUUGUAAACUGCUUUUGUACGGAACGAAAAGGUUCUUUCUAAUAAAGAGAGCCCAUGACGGUACCGUAAGAAUAAGCACCGGCUAACUACGUGCCAGCCGCCGCCGUAACAC
rnacentral:rRNA from 1 species